rnacentral:lncRNA from 1 species
UUGAAGGACAGCCAUAAAUUGAAAACAAACAUUCCUCUAAGCAUUUAUUGCAACAGCGUUAGUGAUAUGCAAGCUUUUGUUGUGUUGGAGCACUCAAAAGUGGCCUUUACAACACAAAAAGCCCGACCUGUACAGUAUCUGCUGCUACCUACAUGCAUACAUGCUAUCACAGUUUAUUGUGGCUGCACUAGACCCAUUCACUGCACCAGCUGUCAGUGCUGGGUUGAUCCUCCAACAGCACUUAGCUGAGCCUGACAGGCAAAUGCAAUGAAAUGAUUUACACUAUGGAAGGUGUGUCCGCAAGACGCUCAACACACAAAAUAGUUUCUGACUGAGCACAAGCCACUGAAGUUGGCAAAUUCAUGAAGGCCAAAUAUAUCUUUCUGUCAGUAUACAAAUAUUACUAUCUAUACUGGUAGUAAGUUCUGCACGCACCUUCCACAUUACGGUCUUAAAUGUGGCGAUGACAACACAAAGUGUUUGUGAAAACAUUUCUAAAUUCAUUAUGGACUAGAUGGCCCCAACAUACAAUAGAUUAGAGCCACUCAGAGGCCUCGUGACGCUACGUAGCCAUCAUGGUACUGCAGUCUUACAUUAUCUUUGCUAGCAUACAAAUGGUAGUUUUACCAGCAAUAACUGGUUUGGCUGUAUUGCCCAAUAUAUAGAAAGACAGUAACUAAAGCGUGAUGCAAUUCUCUCAUUGAGCUUACAUGCAUAAUGCACUGCAUCUCCUUCCAGGCCCUCAGAUUUGUACAAGGAACAGGGAAGGAGCUUUAGUAAACUGAAACAUGACAAAUGGAAAACUCAAAAGCUACACAGACCAAUGGUAUCCAUGAUAUAAUUGAUUUUUAAAUACAAGAGAUCAGUGUUGAGCUAGCGAGCAAUGUUUAGCAUUGUGUGACACACCGCAAGACAGUGUAACAAAGCAACGCAACAUGGAGCUGCAUUGUCCACACAUAGUGUAGUUCAAUAUCUAUUACGCAUAAUUUCAAGUGCCAAGGAAAGAAGUGGUAUCCUAAUGUUACACAAUCGAACAUGGUGUAACGUUUGGUAAGGAUGUAUUCCAUAAACCUGUCGCAACUGCUUGCCUCUUCAAAUGCAACUGACUAGCGAGGACAAAAACACAAAUACAGAUUUGUCCUCACAUCACUGUGAUGUUCAGUUCAAGAAAAAAAA